rnacentral:rRNA from 1 species
UACGUAGGUGGCGAGCGUUGUCCGGAUGUACUGGGCGUAAAGAGCGCGCAGGCGGUCGUACAAGUCGCGUGUGAAAGCCCCCGGCUCAACUGGGGAGGGUCACGCGAUACUGUUCGACUCGAAGGCAGGAGAGGGAAGCGGAAUUCCCGGUGUAGUGGUUAAAUGCGUAGAUAUCGGGAGGAACACCAGUGGCGAAGGCGGCUUCCUGGCCUGUUCUUGACGCUGAGGCGCGAAAGCUAGGGUAGCAAACGGG